AAUUUUUAAAGCCAAGAGGUUACAUUACAGCAACAUCUAAAAUUGAAGUUGAAUCGUCAUUUUAGGAUUUUGGAUGAUUUGUUAAUAUGACGUCAUCAAAGUUUUUGAAAAUGUUCUUAUAUUGCAAAAAAUGUUCUUAUAUUAAUAUAAGAAAUAAGAACAUUUUAUUUUUGAAAAAAUGUUCUUAUAUCCAACCCUGGUUCAGGGUAUACUAUAUUCUUGGUAACGCUUACAAUUUCUUGUAUUAUAUAGUUUUGCAGUUCUGACUGAGUACAAUCUUAAAUUAAUCAUUACAAAUGAAUGGUGUCGCCGCCAUGCAGAAGCUGACGAAUGAAAUAAAACUGUCAACAAUUAGAUUUUGUCUCCCCAUCAGGUGUGAGCAGAUUCUUCAGUGGUUUUGCAAUAGGGGUAGCCUUGAAGGUGCCAUUAAAACGAUAAUUGGGACAAAAACUGACUUAAUAUUUCUAUUUAUUAUUCAUUGCACUGUGUUCUCGGUUUUUCAUUGGCUAAGAGCCUACAAAAAAUUUUGGGUAUUUGUAGGUACCUGUGCUAUUUCCAGCAGAAACAAUAAUCUGCAGAGGUUAUUGGACGGCACCCGAGAUAUUUCAGCGGUAUGUUAUGUGAAAAUACAAAUUGGCGGGAAAUUUUCAGUUGAAUUUACGAAAAGUUAAUCAAUUCAAUGAAUAUUAUUUUAUUUGUUUUCAAUUGUUGCUUGUUUUGUUUUCUUUCUGUCACAAAAUGAAUAAUAAAACAAUUAUUGAAUUCGGAUUGCGCAGGAUACCAGAAUUAUUCAGACCUUGGUCAAUGUUAUCUGCCGAAUUCCUGCUGGAUAUCCUGCUCAGCCCCAUCCAAUAAUUGUUAAAUAUAUGAAACUGUUAUAAUUAAAUUCUACAUGUCCAAUGAUUCAUUCAAGUAUUAUCAUUUAUAUAUAAUAUGAUUUUGUCUGAUAUUCAGUGGCAAGCUUGCCAUGGCAACUGGUCAUACCACGCCAAUAAACCUGCAUCUAUUUGACUAAUGCAAAUUAUUAAAAACUUGCAUAGCAUGAUCUGUUGCAAUGACUAGCUUCACCACUGACAGUGUUAUAAAUGUACAUACAAAAGCAAGAAGUUAUAGAGGGGGGGGGGUGAAAAGGUUUUCGGAUUGUCGGAUUCCACCAAUCUUAUUAAUACAGCGGAUUGCGGAUUUAUGUAAUAUUUUGGCUGAGAUUGGGGAUUUUGCUUGCAAUUUAGUUCGAAUUUGCAAGGUGUUUGAUAUUCAAAUUGCACUUUUCCUACAUACAGAACAGGUGUCUUAGGGGCUGUUUACAUGAUGGAAGGUGGGAUGUCAUUAUUUUGAUGUGUUGAAAUAAGUCAGUAGGCUAAACAAAAGUUAAAAUGCUGGUUAAGAGAAUUCAAAUAUUGUGGAGAAGAUCUUGUAGUUCCAGAAGACUGUUAUUAUGUUUCGUUUACAGUUAACUAAUUAAUCUAUCUCAAGAAAAUAAUGAAUUUUGCACUGUGACUUGUUUCAAUACAUCAAAAUAACCCCGGCUCACAUCUCGUCAUGGCAAAGCGGGAUCAUAUAUAAAACAGCCCCUUAUCCAGCAAAUUACGCAUGCUGUCUUUGAUCCCUUAGGGGUGAGACAGCACUUUCCUUGCGAUAGUAACUUCUAGUUUAUUUGUAUUUUACCCACCGCAAAAGUUUAGCUUAUUCAGGGAGGAUACACGUGCGUUCACGUGCGUACGAAGCGUAUAAGGAAUGGAUCAUUAGCAAAUGAUGGGGAGUGGUCCAUUUGCAACAUGUACGAUUAUUUUUUCAAACUUUUUUGCUUGUGUCGAUUAUUUUUUUUAAUAAUCCCUUGCUCGAAUUUUUUUUUUUCCAAAAAUUUUUGGCGCGGGGGGGGGGUUUAGAACUUAAAAAUUUUUUCAGGACGUAAAAAUGGGGUCAAAACAAUUUUUCAAGACUAACAUCAGUUUAGUUAAGGUUUAAAACACAUUUUCCCUGACAAAUUCUUCUUAAAGCAAUUAAAACGCUUUUUUGCACCAAUAUCUGCUACAUUUAGGUUUAGAAAUUUUUUUCUCACACCAUUUAAUACAAAGUUAUAUCAAAAAACGUUCCAAAUUAUUUUUCUUUUAUUUUCCAAAUUUGGGAGCCACCCUUACACUGUACCUCUGAUAGGCCCUGUCAACUUAUAAUUUUCCCUAUUGAAAAGUCUCUGCACGAAUUUUUUUUUCAAACUUCUGGUGCACGAAUUUUUUUUUCUGUUUCCCCUGCUCGAUUUUUAUUUUUGCUUUUGCCCCCCCCCCCCCCCAUCACUUUCCUAAUGGUCCGCCCCUAAGUAUCAUCCGAGUCCGAGUUGCAACUCAAGUCGGAAGUCGGAAGUCGGAUCUCGGACUUUCCUGAUGAAAAUCCGAGUUGUAACUCGGAAAUUUUGUUAAUGAAAAUUCGAGAUAUCCGGCCGUCAGACUUUCGUUGACCGGAGGCCCUGUUAAGCCUGGUUUCCAUUAAAUCGUAAUCAUCGCAAUAGUCGCGGAACGCGGCCAUCGCUAUCGCAAAAAGGGGUUUUAGGUAUAAGGUAUACUUCUCCAAAGUAAUGUAGUUGUAAACUAUUAAUAACAAUAGACUUUGGGUCAAGGCAUUUUUUAAUACCAUGGAUUGGUGGGGCAUUUGCCCCACAAAGCCCCUUCCUCUGCCCCACCAAUGAGGAAAAAAAUGGCCUAUUGCCCCAAAGCCAGGCCCCAGGACCUGGAUGGAGUAAAUGAGUUUAACAAUGAAAAGAAGUUUAAAAUUAUAAUUUUUUUAUCGUUUUAUGCUCAUAGUGGGAAAUGUUACUAAAUAA